CAGAGAAUCCUGAUUCUCGAUCACUGAGUCCCAAACAUGUAGGAUUCUAUAUCAGCCAUCAGAUCAGAUAAGAACCUCUAAUGUGUGUGACCCCGCAGGUUCGAACCUAAGCCGGUAGCACAGGAACCAAUUCCUGUACUAAUCGAAGUGACCAUCUAGCAAUAGUAUCCGACGAUCGGAUAGGUUGAAUGGUCGCAAUCGCAACACUCAGAACCUAUGUGAAUAUGGUUACUGUAUAAUUCAUCCUUUUGACCUCUGUGUUUAGGACGACUCAGGGUUAAACUGUCAACCCUGAUCAGAUCAUCCGAAUCAUGCUCAACUCAAACAGUCCUAUGACUCCUCACAAGGACUACCCUGGUCAAGGUUUUGCUAAAUUAAAAUAUGACUGUAUACAGCUCUUAAACUGGAGUGGUCAAUCCCAUCUUGACACACGCACCGACAAGUCAAGUACUUGACUACACCCAGCAGCCUUCCAUCACUGAAUUAAAAAUUCAGAUAGUCCAAUGCCUAAGUACAGUGAGUUACUUGCAAGUCACCAUGGUGGUCUCAGGUC
rnacentral:lncRNA from 1 species